rnacentral:rRNA from 1 species
CCUACGGGAGGCAGCAGUGGGGAAUAUUGGACAAUGGGGGGAACCCUGAUCCAGCCAUGCCGCGUGUGUGAAGAAGGCCCUCGGGUUGUAAAGCACUUUCAGUGAGGAAGAACGCCUGGUGGUUAAUACCCAUCAGGAAAGACAUCACUCACAGAAGAAGCACCGGCUAACUCCGUGCCAGCAGCCGCGGUAAUACAGAGGGUGCGAGCGUUAAUCGGAAUUACUGGGCGUAAAGCGCGCGUAGGUGGCUUGAUAAGCCGGUUGUGAAAGCCCCGGGCUCAACCUGGGAACGGCAUCCGGAACUGUCAAGCUAGAGUGCAGGAGAGGAAGGUAGAAUUCCCGGUGUAGCGGUGAAAUGCGUAGAGAUCGGGAGGAAUACCAGUGGCGAAGGCGGCCUUCUGGACUGACACUGACACUGAGGUGCGAAAGCGUGGGUAGCAAACAGGAUUAGAUACCCCUGUAGUC